UGGUGGGUUGCCUUGUCAGGUUGAUUCCGGUAACGAACGAGACCUCAGCCUGCUAAAUAGUCACGUUCGCUUUUUGCGGAUGGUUGACUUCUUAGAGGGACUAUUGGCGUUUAGUCAAUGGAAGUAUGAGGCAAUAACA
rnacentral:rRNA from 1 species